CCUUCGAUAGCUCAGUUGGGAGAGCGGAGGACUGUAGGUUCAUUAAACUAAGAGAUCCUUAGGUCGCUGGUUCGAAUCCGGCUCGAAGGA
rfam:Pongo abelii chromosome 6.